ACAUAUCCAACCUGCCGUCUACUCUUGGACAGCCUUCUGAAAGGAAGAUUAAUACAAGAUGGCAUCAUGAGUCCGCAUGUUCACAUGAUUAAAGGUAUUCCGGUAGACGAUGGGGAUGCGUUCCAUUAGAUAGUAGGCGGGGUAACGGCCCACCUAGUCUUCGAUGGAUAGGGGUUCUGCGAGGAAGGUCCCCCACAUUGGAACUGAGACACGGUCCAA
rnacentral:rRNA from 1 species